rnacentral:lncRNA from 1 species
AAGCCACUUAGUCAUGAAGGCAAGUGUAUGCGCAACAAGGAAUCUCUAAUCCUCGAUAAGAGAGGAAUAAUACUCUAAGAUAUGAUUCGGGAAUCUUCGGCCGAAGUAUCGAGCGUAAUAAAGGAAAGCGUUCCUAUACGACUCAAUUGGAUCAUAUAAGAAGGAAUAAUCACAUUAGGGGUUUGACAUGAUAUAUCUGAUGUGAGAAUUUACUUGACACACAAAUUAAACCCUCUUUUUGACAAUUGUAGUAUAGAUGUAAGUAGGGUAUCGUUCUAGGCCGGGGAUUAGGAGGGAUUGCUAAUCUAUUCUAAAUUAAUUUAAAAAUAUUAAACAAGAUUCAAGGACACAAAACUAGGCUAAAAACUCUAAUAACUCGAAACACACUUAGAAUGACUCAAAAUAAUGAAAACAAUCAAAUUAGACACUAGGAACUGAAAUGGACGGAAAUUGAAUUAAAAGACUAACAAUAAAGAAAACUAACUAAAUAAUAUAAUUUAAUAAUG